rnacentral:rRNA from 1 species
UACGAAGGGGGCUAGCGUUGCUCGGAAUCACUGGGCGUAAAGGGUGCGUAGGCGGGUCUUUAAGUCAGGGGUGAAAUCCUGGAGCUCAACUCCAGAACUGCCUUUGAUACUGAGGAUCUUGAGUUCGGGAGAGGUGAGUGGAACUGCGAGUGUAGAGGUGAAAUUCGUAGAUAUUCGCAAGAACACCAGUGGCGAAGGCGGCUCACUGGCCCGAUACUGACGCUGAGGCACGAAAGCGUGGGGAGCAAAGCAGG